rnacentral:rRNA from 1 species
AUAUUGGACAAUGGGCGAAAGCCUGAUCCAGCCAUGACGCGUGUGUGAAGAAGGUCUUCGGAUCGUAAAGCACUUUAUGUUGUGAGGAAGGGCUUUAGGUUAAUACCCUGAAGUUUUGACGUUACCAACAGAAUAAGCACCGUCUAACUCUGUGCCAGCAGCCGCGGUCAUACAGAGGGUGCAAGCGUUAAUCGGAAUUACUGGGCGUAAAGCGCGCGUAGGUAGUUCAGUAAGAUGGGUGUGAAAUCCCCGGGCUUAACCUGGGAAUUGCUUUCAAAACUGACGAGCUAGAGUACGGUAGAGGGUAGUGGAAUUUCCUGUGUAGCGGUGAAAUGCGUAGAUAUAGGAAGGAACAUCAGUGGCGAAGGCGACUACCUGGACUGAUACUGACACUGAGGUGCGAAAGCGUGGGGAGCAAACAGG